CGGUUGAUCCUGCCGGAGGCCACUGCUAUGGGGGUCCGACUAAGCCAUGCGAGUCAUGGGGCGCGCUCUGCGCGCACCGGCGGACGGCUCAGUAACACGUCGGUAACCUACCCUCGGGAGGGGGAUAACCCCGGGAAACUGGGGCUAAUCCCCCAUAGGCCUGGGGUACUGGAAGGUCCCCAGGCCGAAAGGGGCUCUGCCCGCCCGAGGAUGGGCCGGCGGCCGAUUAGGUAGUUGGUGGGGUAACGGCCCACCAAGCCGAAGAUCGGUACGGGCCAUGAGAGUGGGAGCCCGGAGAUGGACACUGAGACACGGGUCCAGGCCCUACGGGGCGCAGCAGGCGCGAAACCUCCGCAAUGCGGGCAACCGCGACGGGGGGACCCCCAGUGCCGUGGCACAGCCACGGCUUUUCCGGAGUGUAAAAAGCUCCGGGAAUAAGGGCUGGGCAAGGCCGGUGGCAGCAGCCGCCGGUAAUACCGGCGGCCCAAGUGGUGGCCGCUAUUAUUGGGCCUAAAGCGUCCGUAGCCGGGCCCGUAAGUCCCUGGCGAAAUCCCACGGCUCAACCGUGGGGCUUGCUGGGGAUACUGCGGGCCUUGGGACCGGGAGAGGCCGGGGGUACCCCUGGGGUAGGGGUGAAAUCCUAUAAUCCCAGGGGGACCGCCAGUGGCGAAGGCGCCCGGCUGGAACGGGUCCGACGGUGAGGGACGAAGGCCAGGGGAGCGAACCGGAUUAGAUACCCGGGUAGUCCUGGCUGUAAAGGAUGCGGGCUAGGUGUCGGGCGAGCUUCGAGCUCGCCCGGUGCCGGAGGGAAGCCGUUAAGCCCGCCGCCUGGGGAGUACGGCCACAAGGCUGAAACUUUAAGGAAUUUGGCGGGGGAGCACAG
rnacentral:rRNA from 1 species